rnacentral:lncRNA from 1 species
CGGCGUGUGGGGGAGGGUUCUUGAAAUGAAACAUCCAAUUAAAAUCUACCCGCUGGGAUCCGUUGGACCUUUCAAACCGUUUUUGCAAUACAACAUUCUCCAGAACUCUAAGGGAGGCAUGACAACGAUGUGAUUUUGGAGGAUGUCAUAAGUGCUGGUGGUGGCUGAUUCUUCAUUGAUUACCUACCUACCUACCUACCUACCUACCUACCUGUGAUGGCUGAUUGUCUGCAUUUAGAGGACAACUCAAGCGACACUGAGAACUGGGAAAGUAGUCUUCACAGACACUCAAGAGUCGUGGCUGAACGACAACAUGGAUAACAUACAGCUGGCUGGGUUUUCGGUGCAUCGGCAAGAUAGAACAGCUGUCUCCGGGGGAUAUACACAGCAGUGACGAUAACCGAGGAGAGUUCUCUUGGGAGAGAAUACGGUCGGCAUUUGAUUGUGAGGAAUUCUAGAGAGAUGUUUGUUCCUGUCGGUGCGAUGCACUGAAAAUCUUGUUUGCUCUACGGACUCUGACAGCAUGUCCCCAGCUAGCCAUGUCUCUGUGAAACGGAGUAUAUUACAAUCCUGAAUAUCUCUUUGGAAAACAACUCUUGCCCUAAUUUCGGCGACUUUGAUAACUAGGAACGGGACAUUAGCGAGCAAUAUACUCGGAAGCAGUGGGUGGUGUGUGCGCAUCCGAAGCUUCAGUAGAAGACCGCUCCGGCACCCUCUCCUCCGACGGUGUUGUUUUGGGUCGGCCUCUGGAAUCAGUUCAAAUGCCCUGGGAGGUGCAGACAAAGGAUCCGCUUUGGGGAAGUUGUAUUCCUGGUCGUAGUGCUGGUAAGUUGACGUCUCUCUAAUAUCCAAUAGUUCUUCCCUGCUGUAUGUAAUAACACUUAAGGUUUUCUGGGCUAACAAUGUAAGAAAUAAUACAUAAAAAAACGAAUUACUGCACCGUUUCCUAAGGACUUGAAGCGAAGCUGCCAUCUCUAUCAGCGCCAUCAGUAUUGGCCAUAUAUCACAAACCCCUGAGGUGCCUUAUUGCUAUUAUAAACUAGUUACCAACGUAAUUAGAGCCGUAAAAAUAAAUGUUUUGUCAUACCGGUGGUAUACGGUCUGAUAUACCAUGGCUGUCAGCCAAUCAGCAUUCAGGGCUUGACCCACCCAGUUUAUAAUAGUGUUUAUUUCAUA